rnacentral:rRNA from 1 species
CCUACGGGUGGCAGCAGUGAGGAAUAUUGGUCAAUGGUCGGGAGACUGAACCAGCCAAGCCGCGUGAGGGAUGAAGGUACAGAGUAUCGUAACCCUCUUUUGUCAGGGAACAAAGGCUGGGACGUGUCCCCGGAUGAGUGUACCUGAAGAAAAAGCAUCGGCUAACUCCGUGCCCGCAGCCGCGGUAAUACGGAGGAUGCGAGCGUUAUCCGGAUUUAUUGGGGUUAAGGGGUGGGGAGGCGGUCUGUUAAGUCCGCGGUCAAAGGCCGGGGCUCAACCCCGGCCGGCCGGUGAAACUGGUAGUAUCGAGUGGGCGAGAAGUAUGCGGAAUGCGUGGUGUAGCGGUGAAAUGCAUAGAUAUCACGCAGAACUCCGAUGGCGAAGGCAGCAUACCGGCGCUCAACUGACGCUGAGGCACGAAAGCGUGGGGAUCGAACAGGAUUAGAUACCCGAGUAGUC